rnacentral:tRNA from 1 species
GUUCGUUGUAGCUCAGAUUGGUGAGAGCGGCCCCACGAGGGGGAGAGGUCCUGGGUUCGAUUCCCGGCAACGAACU